rnacentral:rRNA from 1 species
UACGUAGGAUGCGAGCGUUGUCCGGAAUCAUUGGGCGUAAAGCGAACGUAGGCGGUCUGUUAAGUCCGUUCUUAAAGACCGGGGCUCAACCUCGGGACUGGAAUGGAUACUGUCAGGCUGGAGGACGUCAGAGGGAAGUGGAAUUCCUAGUGUAGCGGUGAAAUGCGUAGAUAUUAGGAGGAACACCAGGUGGCGAAAGCGGA